rnacentral:lncRNA from 1 species
GUAGCCAUCCACCACAUGGCUGAAUAAACCAUGACAGGACCAAUCGCCACUCAGCAAUGAGAAGCAGCUAACUGUUGACAUACCAACAGUUGCACGGGCCUCAAGGGUGUCACGCGGCAUGAAAGACACUCAUCUCAGGCCACACAGGAUUCCAUCUAUUGAACAUUCCUGAGACAACGGAAUUCUGGCGAUGGAGCACAGCUGUUGUUCCCCACCAGAACCAAAUGAGCGCAAGAUCUGACAAAGAAAAAAAAAGGUUCAUCUUUUAUUCCUCCAAACACUUUCAUUUAAAUCAAGAGGAUGGGAUGUGGUUAUUGCUGUGUUUUUAGACAGAAUCAACGGUUUCUGGGUCUGAGAUGUUGCAUACACCUUCUCAGUCCCUGUAUCCUGAGAUGGAGUCACCUGAGAAUCCACAGCAAGUCCUAACCAGGGAUGGGUCUGGGUGAUUAAGGAAGGUUGGCUUCAGAACUGGGCCAGGGGCACUGCUUUGCUUUUGCUGUUUUGAUCAGCUCUCUGCCUGAAGGAGACAAGAAAAACCAACGGGAACAGCCCAGUAAAGGCGCCAUUCCCCAUUUUACAGCUGGGGAAACUGAGUUACAGAGCUUGUCUGCACUGAGUCAUCAGGAGCAAAUGCUAGAUCAGAUAGGGUCUCUCUCUCUGCCACCCAGGCCAGAGUGCAGUUGACGCAGGGCAGGGGAGCCCCGAAGUGGAGCAUAGUGUGUCCGGAACUGGUGGGUUCUUGGUCUCACUGACUUCAAGAAAGAAGCCGCGGACCCUCGCGAGACGGGGUCUUGCUCUGUUGCUCAAGCU